GAAUAUUGGACAAUGGGCGAAAGCCUGAUCCAGCAAUGCCGCGUGAGUGAUGAAGGCCUUAGGGUUGUAAAGCUCUUUCAGCAGGGAAGAUAAUGACGGUACCUGCAGAAGAAGCUCCGGCUAACUCCGUGCCAGCAGCCGCGGUAAUACGGAGGGAGCUAGCGUUGUUCGGAAUUACUGGGCGUAAAGAGCGCGUAGGCGGUCUGUAAAGUUAGGAGUGAAAGCCAAAGGCUCAACCUUGGAACUGCUCUUAAAACUCACAGACUAGAGAUUGGUAGAGGAUGGUGGAAUUCCUAGUGUAGAGGUGAAAUUCGUAGAUAUUAGGAGGAACACCGGUGGCGAAGGCGGCCAUCUGGGCCAAUACUGACGCUGAGGCGCGAAAGCGUGGGGAGCAAACAG
rnacentral:rRNA from 1 species